rnacentral:rRNA from 1 species
AAAGACAACCUUGCAAAACUAAUACUAAUACCCUAUGAAAUUCUUCGCAGGCAUCUAAAGAGAACCAAAGAUCUAUCGGCAACGGAUGGGGAUGCGUCUGAUUAGGUUGUUGGCGGGGUAACGGCCCACCAAGCCUACGAUCAGUAGGGGUUCUGAGAGGAAGGUCCCCCACAUUGGAACUGAGACACGGUCCAAACUCCUACGGGAGGCAGCAGUGAGGAAUAUUGGUCAAUGGACGGAAGUCUGAACCAGCCAAGUAGCGUGCAGGAUGACGGCCCUAUGGGUUGUAAACUGCUUUUAUGUGGGAAUAAAGUGAGGGACGUGUCCCUUUUUGUAGGUACCACAUGAAUAAGGACCGGCUAAUUCCGUGCCAGCAGCCGCGGUAAUACGGAAGGUCCGGGCGUUAUCCGGAUUUAUUGGGUUUAAAGGGAGCGUAGGCCGUCUUUUAAGCGUGUUGUGAAAUACUGUCGCUCAACGACAGAGGUGCAGCGCGAACUGGGAGACUUGAGUGCGCGGAAUGCAGGCGGAAUUCGUCGUGUAGCGGUGAAAUGAUUAGAUAUGACGAAGAACUCCGAU